GAUGAACGCUGGCGGCGUGCCUAAUACAUGCAAGUCGAGCGAACGGACGAGAAGCUUGCUUCUCUGAUGUUAUCGGCGGACGGGUGAGUAACACGUGGAUAACCUACCUAUAAGACUGGGAUAACUUCGGGAAACCGGAGCUAAUACCGGAUAAUAUUUUGAACCGCAUGGUUCAAAAGUGAAAGACGGUCUUGCUGUCACUUAUAGAUGGAUCCGCGCUGCAUUAGCUAGUUGGUAAGGUAACGGCUUACCAAGGCAACGAUGCAUAGCCGACCUGAGAGGGUGAUCGGCCACACUGGAACUGAGACACGGUCCAGACUCCUACGGGAGGCAGCAGUAGGGAAUCUUCCGCAAUGGGCGAAAGCCUGACGGAGCAACGCCGCGUGAGUGAUGAAGGUCUUCGGAUCGUAAAACUCUGUUAUUAGGGAAGAACAUAUGUGUAAGUAACUGUGCACAUCUUGACGGUACCUAAUCAGAAAGCCACGGCUAACUACGUG
rnacentral:rRNA from 1 species